AGCAUCUAUACGGUUGAAACUGCGAAUGGCUCAUUAAAUCAGUUAUCGUUUAUUUGAUAGUACCUCACUACUUGGAUAACCGUGGUAAUUCUAGAGCUAAUACAUGCUAAAAACCUCGACUUCGGAAGGGGUGUAUUUAUUAGAUAAAAAACCAAUGCCCUUCGGGGCUCCUUGGUGAUUCAUAAUAACUUAACGAAUCGCAUGGCCUUGCGCCGGCGAUGGUUCAUUCAAAUUUCUGCCCUAUCAACUUUCGAUGGUAGGAUAGUGGCCUACCAUGGUGGCAACGGGUAACGGGGAAUUAGGGUUCUAUUCCGGAGAGGGAGCCUGAGAAACGGCUACCACAUCCAAGGAAGGCAGCAGGCGCGCAAAUUACCCAAUACCGACACGGUGAGGUAGUGACAAUAAAUACUGAUACAGGGCUCUUUUGGGUCUUGUAAUUGGAAUGAGUACAAUUUAAAUCCCUUAACGAGGAACAAUUGGAGGGCAAGUCUGGUGGACCAGCUGGCGCCAGACCACACAUAGGUGGGCCACCUCGGUGAGGUGGCUCGCCAGGCAUCCGGUACGGGGAAGAGCCUCAGGGCUUCAUCCCGUGGCGAGGGGCAACUCUCGCUGUAACGCAUGGCAGGAUGCCGGUGACCCCCCGGGGCCACUUGAGGGACAUGCUAUUCGGAUCCGCCAAGGGAUCUUAGGGGUCCUUCCAGCCGGAAGGACCCCCCGUAAUGCAGGCCAGCAGCCGCGGUAAUUCCAGCUCCAAUAGCGUAUAUUAAAGUUGUUGCAGUUAAAAAGCUCGUAGUUGAACCUUGGGCUUGGCUGUCCGGUCCGCCUCACCGCGUGCACUGGUUCGGCCGAGCCUUUCCUUCUGGGGAGCCGCAUGCCCUUCACUGGGUGUGUCGGGGAACCAGGACUUUUACUUUGAAAAAAUUAGAGUGUUCAAAGCAGGCCUAUGCUCGAAUACAUUAGCAUGGAAUAAUAGAAUAGGACGUUGKGGUUCUAUUUUGUUGGUUUCUAGGACCSC
rnacentral:rRNA from 1 species